rnacentral:rRNA from 1 species
UACGAAGGGGGCUAGCGUUGCUCGGAUUUACUGGGCGUAAAGCGCACGUAGGCGGUUUGUUAAGUCAGGGGUGAAAUCCUGGAGCUCAACUCCAGAACUGCCUUUGAUACUGAGGAUCUUGAGUUCGGGAGAGGUGAGUGGAACUGCGAGUGUAGAGGUGAAAUUCGUAGAUAUUCGCAAGAACACCAGUGGCGAAGGCGGCUCACUGGCCCGAUACUGACGCUGAGGCACGAAAGCGUGGGGAGCAAACAGGG